CCUUGACAUACUAAGAACUUUCCAGAGAUUGGAUUGGUGCCUUCGGGAACUUAGAUACAGGUGCUGCAUGGCUGUCGUCAGCUCGUGUCGUGAGAUGUUGGUUAAGUCCCGCAACGAGCGCAACCUUUUCCUAUUUGCCAGCGGGUCAUGCCGGGAACUUUAAGGAUACUGCCAGUGACAAACUGGAGGAAGGCGGGGACGACGUCAAGUCAUCAUGGCCCUUACGGCCAGGGCUACACACGUGCUACAAUGGUCGGUACAAAGGGUUGCUACCUCGCGAGAGGAUGCUAAUCUCAAAAAGCCGAUCGUAGUCCGGAUCGCAGUCUGCAACUCGACUGCGUGAAGUCGGAAUCGCUAGUAAUCGCGGAUCAGAAUGCCGCGGUGAAUACGUUCCCGGGCCUUGUACACACCGCCCGUCACACCAUGGGAGUUUGUUGCACCAGAAGUAGGUAGUCUAACCGCAAGGAGGACGCUUACCACGGUGUGGCCGAUGACUGGGGUGAAGUCGUAACAAGGUAAGCGUAGAUGA
rnacentral:rRNA from 1 species